rnacentral:lncRNA from 1 species
ACACACAGAUAAUAAUAAUAAUCAUGUUUCCAUAAAAUUGCUAAGUCCAGAGAUAAUACAUAAACAUAGUAGACUGUUCAUGACACAUAUCACGGUGGACAGUGUUUGUGUCCUUAUUACAAGCAACGAGAGAUGCUCGUCACCAACACGCGCGCGCACAGAUGCACGACAUACAUAUAGUAGAGACCAACAGAUGGUCGUCCCAUAUGGUGAACAAUUUAUUGGAGAUAAAUAUUAACGUAACUUGGCCAUAGCUUGAAGCAUAGCAACAUAUGCCUAUGAGUGGCAUUCAUGCUAUCGUUUUAGGCUUGUCCAGCUCCUUCCAUCUUAGCAAGCACUUCCAUUUCUACCAUCUUAGCAGCAACUGUCAAAUUGAGAUACGGAAAUCCCAUUAGCGCAUGAGUUAAUUUUGCAGUGGAAAUAGAGUACAAGAUGUCUUCAUGAUGUAAGUAAUAUGCCUGAAGUUGUGAGAUGGGAAGUGAAGUCAACAAAUUACAUUAACGGAAAUGCAUGGAAGGCCACACAUACGUAUUAGUCCAUGAUAUGCUACAAAGCUUGUAUGUACAUAUAGCAAAUUAAAUGCAUUAAUUGAAUAGAGUGUGUUUAGUGAAUUUACCAGAAUCGUCCAGAAAACAUGGGAAACAGCAAGUGUUCUUGCAGACUGCGUCGGAGGCACCCGCACGAAUACAAAGCUGACAACAUAGUUUUGCCUGGGCGGAUGCGCAGCAGCCGCACUCCGCCGCGGUGGGGUUAACAUUGAGGCUCAAGAUGACCAGGCACAUGAUCACCAUCAAAGUGGUAGUCCUCUUUCCCUCCAUUGCCUCCUCUUAGCUUGCUGCUACCUUCCUUGGUUACCUAGCUAAGUUUAUUGGUUUUGUGUUGAGAGGUGUGAUUCUUGAAUGGACGUUGCCGGCGGCAAUUUAUAGGCAGCUGAGCUAUGUGAUGAUAUGGACUAGGUGCAAAUGGGUGGUUAAUGGCAAGGAAAGGGGCGUCAGACAAAGCCCAAUGGCAACUGCUGACAUGCGAUUAAAUUCAGAUCCACAUCCGGCCAUUCAAUAAUACGGUUGGAGUUGUGGCACAGAUAUAUUAUUGCAUGAUCAUCAAGAUAAGAUCGUACAGUGACUGAGUGAGACAAUAAAUAGCCAAGUAAACUAUUUUAUCCUGCUGCAAGCUGCAUUCAUAAGUUUAUUUCACCUUUGAUCACAAUACUCUUCACACACGUACGUCUCAGGGAGAUCUCACUUCCGCUGGACUGCUCACUUCCGCUGUCGUCGGUACUGCCAAAGACAUAAGCUCACAUCUGCUAUUGCGGAGCAGGCCAAUUUGCUGCGGAACUUCGGCGACGACCUGAAGGACAUGAACUCGGUGCUGGAGUCCAUCUCAGCAGCGCUCUAGGACGCUGACACCGGUAGAAAAACGACCUUCCAUCGUCAACAAAAAUCCCGGUAGCUUUUUUACUCGGUACUAAAGAGGUUUUAAUCUCGUGCAAACACCUUUAGUCCGGAUUGCUGUUACCACGCAACCCGAACUAAAGCGUCCCCCACGAGUUACUAUAUAAGGAUUGCAUCCUUUACUCAGUCAGAUAUAAUGUGUAGGUGAGAUGGUAAGGAAGCUAUACGUGAGGCUUCAGGUUGUGGGUUCGAAUCCAAGGAGAAGUGGGUGCAGCUGUGGCUUAAGCGGCUGAGGCACGCCGCCAUAGACAUCUCAGAUUUGCUCGAAGACUACCAAGACACUAGUGAACCCUUAACAGUAAAGGUGAGUACUUAUGAAUGUCAGCAUCCAUGUUGUCCAUGCUUCCAAUGUAAUAACAAGAUGGACUACUCUUCCUAGCGGACUCUUCACAACCACUCGUAAAGCUAUACGUUUCUCAAUGCAAUUUCGUAGAAGCCAAUCGAUCCAACCAAGUGACUAAAUCAUUCAUCCUUUCCAAUGAUGUGCAUCAGGUUUUCUACAUGAAGGGCAUCUCUAGCAAACCCAAGAUUUCAGAAGAAAAAGAAAAAUCAUUGGAGCCAAAGAGCCACAUAGUUCUUCCAGGAAAAAAAAAUCAUGGGAGUCGAGAACAAAUCAAACCAAUCAGAGGAUUAUGGUCAGCUUAAUGGCAUGCCUCCAUUCGAUGUCGAAGUUCACCCAAGCAUCAUGUUAGCCAAACAUCAAAUGUUCGUGCGUUGUUACGGUAAAGAUCAAUUGUGUUUUUUAAACUCAUGGAAUUUUUUUUCUAAGUUUUUAUUACACUUAUUGGAUGUCUACACAUUUGCUAGAAAACCAAAAUAAUUUGGACUUAAUUAUUUCUUUCAACUGAAGUACUCACUAAAUUUCUACCUUUUUAUUUAAGCAAGAGAGUUGCUAAAAAAAAUGGAUACAUAACCAUGUUGUAUCGUACAAAGCAACCACAUUUCACAUAUAGUCCGGCUUACCAAACACCAUUUUUUACUGAACAUAGCGUACAUGAGUUAAGAGACAUGGAUUUAUUUCUAUUGCAAGUAGCAUAGCGUACAACCUGCCUGCACCGAUGCAGCUCAAUAUGCGAUAAUUUUUAUCUUCCCAUGUAAUUUUUCUACUCUAGUACAUAUUGAACUCCACAUUAAUGUCAUGUUCUUUGGCGCCCCAGACGGUUCCUAAAGUUUGGAAACAAAAUAGAUAGCCAGAAAUUUUUUUAAAAAAUAUUUAUAUGGAUAUUUGUAUGUUCUUUGCAAACUAACAAUAUUGUUUACCAAUAUCAAAAGGAAUAUGGCUAGGAGCCAUUGCCGCAUAUGGCAGGUGAUGGUAGAUGGCGUAUGGGAUUUCGUUAAUUUAAUGGUAUAAUAAGCUGAAAUACAUUUUCUAUUUGCAAAUGAAUCAUAGCUGAAAGUGGUGAGAUUGUUUUUUCGCCGGUUUAGCAUCCUGUGCACCGGUUCAACUGGAGGGAAGCGGUUCACCGAGACGGAUGACAAUUUUACGGCAGAAUCAUUACUUGUUUUAUUAUUAGGUGAAGAUUUUAGCUUUUAGGUAUCUCACAUUAACAAUCUGUUUCUAGUGUAUAAUGUAGGAGACCCGUAAAGAGUCUACACACACAUAUAUAUGUUGACUAUGAAUGUAAGUUUGUUGGUUUUAUGUAUGUUCAUUUGGAGUUUAUAUAAAUUUUACAUUUUAUAGUUUUGUGUAUAUGACGAAGAUCCAUGACUUGCAUUAAUUUAACCUUUCUUCCAACAACUCUUAUGCAUGCUGUUUCUAGGGGAGCGCACUGGUUGCAAUUUUGGUCCCCGAUAUAGCAUGAGGACUUAAGGGAGACGGGCACGUCGUAACCUUAGAUAUUUUUGCAAGAAGCAAAUUAUACUUUGCUUUUGAUUUUCUCCAUGCCAUUUGCUGACUCUUAUCCCUUUUAUUUAUCAUUAUAAGAUGAAAAUAUUGUAAAAACUUGGUUACGUGCGGUCGCAGAAGCUAGAGACUAUUUCUUUUUUUAAAAAUACGCAAGAGGGAGAAACUUGGUAACAGCUAGACAGUGAAGAUCGCAUUUCAUAAGAAAGAUGGUGCACGUUCUUGUUUGGCUGUUAACGAAAUGACUUCGUUUCACCACACCACCAGAGAGCCCCAUUGCACUUGCAGCAAAAGCGUGGAGCCGCUUUCAACCAGCGUGCAAUAAUGCAGUCCCGCGUGUCUUGGUCUUACAGGAUAUUUGGUUCUUUAGUCCGGACUAAAAUUCAUGUCGCAUAGAAUAUUCAGAUGUUAAAUAGGAGGACUAAACAUGAGCUAAUUAUAAAAAUAAUUACACAAAUGGAGGCUAAUUCCCAAGACAAAUCUAUUAAGUCUAAUUAAUCCAUCAUUAGCACAUGUUUACCGUAGCACCGUAUUGUCAAAUCAUGGACUAAUUAGGCUUAAUAAAUUCGUCUCGCAAGUUAGUCUCCAUCUAUACAAUUUGUUUUAUAAUUAGUCAAUGUUUAAUACUCUAUCUAAACAUUCAAUGUGACUGAAAUUUUAGGAGGUCCUAAAGAACCAAACACCCCUUAGUCUCCGCCUGAACUAUAGCAGGUGCUGGCAGCGGUAGCAGGGUCGUCCAUUAUAUCUAUGGAUGGAAAUGAUCUGAUUCGGAUGGAAUCGAAUUCGAAUAGCACUUUUUACCACAUACUAAUCUGAAUUGGAUGUUCUCGAAUGUGAAUGCAAAACGGAUAGUUCAAAUUUGAAUACUUUGCGGAUUUUUGCAUAAUAUUAAUCGAAGAGAAUUUGUUAAAUUUAGCCGAGACAUAAAUUUUUCUAAAUUCAAAUACUUUGCAGAUUUUCGAAUGCAAAUUUUUUCAUACGAUCUCGGUUGAAUACAAACUUUAUAUCAAAGUUGUAUAUUUAGAUUAUAUAUAAAACUUUGUAGUUGACCUCCUUUUCAUUUAAAAUUUUUUAAUAGCUCAAAACAUUAUUCUAAGCUUUCUAAUUUCAAAAUCUUGAAUUUUAAAUUUUUCAAACGACCUCGGAUGCAAACAAGCUCUAUAUCAAAGUGCUUAAUGAGAUAUAAAAUUUUGUAGUUGACAAGUUUUUUAGUUGAAAACAUUUAGUUAUCACAAACAUACAAGUUCUUCAUUUGAUGUCGAGGAUUGGAAGUGUUGAGUUUGAAGAAUAUAUUCUUUGAUUACAAACUUUUCCAUAUGAUCUUGGAUGAAUACGAACUUUAUUUCAAAGUUGCAAAUUUAGAUUAGACCAAAAACAGUAUAGUUUACAAUUUUUUCAUUCAAAAUUAUUUAGUAGCUCAAAAUGUUAUUCUAAACUCUCUAAUUUUGAAAUCUUGAAUUUUAAAAUUUUCAAAUGACCUCGGAUGCAAACAAGCUCUAUAUCGAAGUGGUAGUUCUUAAUGAGAUAUAAAAUUUUGUAGUUCCAUCUGAGAUCAUUUAACAGUCACAAAUAUACAAGUUUUUCAUAUGAUGCUAAGGAUCAGAAAGAUUAAGUUUGAAGGCUGUAUUUUUUUAAUACAAAUUUUUGCAUACGAUCUCGGAUGAAUACAAACUUUAUAUCAAAAUUGUAGAGCUCGAUGAGAAUUUAAACUUUGUAGUUGAUAUAUUUUUCAUUCGAGAAUGUUUAGUGGUCCAAACAUGUAUUAUAAGUUCAGAGAAGAAACACACAAUCGGCCACGUCAUCAAUUGACAACUUCCAAACUGAGCAUUCCUAUUGGUUCACACCUUUCCCUUUCAACUCGUCAAGCUUAUCUCCUCCCACUCCUCCAUCGUUCACUCCCCCUUCCCCUUCCUCUCUCCCUCCCUCCCUCCGCUCCAGCAGUGGCAGCCCGACCUGCCUCCUAGGACGGUGGUGUGCGGGGCUCGGGCAUCCCUGGCCUCUAGUGGCGUGGCAGGGCGGCCUCCAGCAGCGAUGGCGGAACUCGGCCUCCGGUGGCGCACAGGCAGCGCAGCCUACCUGGUCAAAGGCGGCGCAACAGGGCGACCUCCCCAGCCUCCGGCGGCGCGCAGGGCAUCCAUGACCUCCCCGGCCUCCCUUGCCAGAGGUGGUGCGCGGGGCUGCGCCGACCUCCCCAACCAGAGGUGGCAAGGCCCCAGCUUACGGCGGCGCGUGGCUCCCCAGCUAGGGUGUGGUGGGGCGGCGGCAAGUCAGGCGUGGCCGCGUGGGGGUGGGGGGAGGGGGUUGGGCUGGGCGGAUUCAGAUAGUAUCCAUUUAACCAUCCGAAAUGUGGAUAUCCGUUUAACAAUCCGUUUAGCAAAACCGAAUUUGGAUACUUCCACUUAAGUAUCCAACUAGGAUUCGAAUGCGGAUGGUCCUACCAUAUUGUUAUUUCAGCGGAUACGAAUAUGGGAUAAUUCGAAUAACGACUUACCCAUCCCUGAUUAUAUCCGUGUAAAUAAAUAAUUGCGGCAGCAGGUUCCCGUCGCCACGCCCCCGUCAAACCAAACAAUUGCUUGCGCGACACCGUGUUACUAGAUCUUGUACAGUACUCCCUCCGUUGCAGUACUCCCUAAUGAAAGUUGAGAAUCGAUCGACAACCACGGCUAGUUGCUAUGCACUCGAUCAGAUGGUCCAGGCGCCCGCUGGUAAUCAGGUCGUGGUUCACGCGCAUCAGGCCAGCUAUGACGUUGCCAGCAGUGCUCAGUACACAAAUCUAGCUAUCAGUCGGAUCCAAUUGGGCAGGCAUUUGCACUGUGGUUGUGUUUGAACCUGUAGAUGUCGUUGUCAUUAUCAGGCACCAUACAUCCUCUCUCAGAGGGUGUUUCACCCCCUAAACUUUAGCCCCUCUCACAUCGAAUGUUUUAGAUACUAAUUAGGAAUAUUAAACAUAGAAAAUUUACUAAACCCAUUACAUGGAUGGAGGGUAAACGGCGAGACAAAUCUAUUAAAUCUAAUUAGUCCAUGAUUUGACAAUGUGCUGCUAUAGUAACUAUUUGCUAAUGAUGGAUUAAUUAGACUUAAUAGAUUUUUCUUGCUGUUUAGCCUCCGUCUGUGCAAUUAGUUUUAUAAUUAAUUCAUAUUUAGUCCUCCUAAUUAGUCUCCGAAUAUUUGAUGUGACACGGACUAAACUUUAGAUAGCACACCAGGGACCGACACCAUGCAUGCUGAUUUCAUAUCAUAAUUAAGGAAAGUGAUAUCAUAAUUAAGGAAAGUGGUAGCAUCCAAGAAAUCGAUCAUGUUUCUUCCCCCUUUGGCUUUCCUACUAGGAUUUGGAUAGCGGGCCUUCCUACUAGGAUUUGGAAUCCGCUAUCGCAUGACUAUCUUAAUUAUGUCCCAUAGUCCAAAACUCACAAAACAUCAAAAAUCCAUCGAGAAUAAAUUAAGUAAAAAACAUGCGCACACAGAUAAUAAUAAUAAUAAUCAUGUUUCAAUAAAAUUGCUAAGAUUAGAGAUAGUACAUAAACAUAUUAGAUUGUUCGUGACACAUAUCAUGGUGGAUAGUGUCUGUGUCCUUAUUACAAGCAGCGAUAGAUGCUUGUCACCACACACACGCACGCACAGAUGCACGACAUACAUAUAGUUGAGACCAACGGAUGGACGUCCCAUAGGGUGAAUAAUUUAUUGGAGAUAAAUAUUAACAUAACUUGGCCAUAGCUUGAAGCAUAGCAACAUAUGCUUAUGAAUGGCAUUCAUGCGGGUAGCAAUGCUAUCAUAUGCUUUUAGGCUUGUCCUUAGCUUCUUCCAUCUUAUAGCAAACACUGCCAUUUCUUCCAUCUUAGCAGCAACUGUCAAAUUAAUUGAGAUAUGGAAAUCCCAUUAGCGCAUGAGUUAAUUUUGCAGUGGAAAUAGAGUAGAAGAUGUCUUCAUAAUGUAAGUAAUAUGACUCUGACAUAGGGAGUGAAGUCAACAAAUUACAUUAACGGAAAUGCAUGGAAGGCCACGCAUAUGUAUUAGUCCGAUAUGCUACAAAGCUUGUAUGUACAUAUAAUAAAUUAAAUGCAUUGAAUAGAGUGAUUUUAGUGAAUUUACCUAAAUCGGAUUAAAAAACAUGGGAAACAACAAGUGUUCUUGUAGGGCUUUGUUUAGUUCCCAAAUUGGGAGUAGCAAAGUUUGCAUUUUACCAUAAAUGCGCAACUAUAGCAUGUAGCAUUUUGUUUGUAUUUGUGAAUUAUUAUCCAAACAUUGACUAAUUAGGCUCAAAAGAUUCAUCUCGCAAAGUACAACAAAACUGUGCAAUUAGUUUUUGAUUUCGUCUACAUUUAGUACUCCGUGCAUGUACCGCAAGUUUGAUGUGAUGGGGAAUCUUGCUUUUCAAUAGUGACAAAGUUGGGAUUUCGGGGGGAAGGCCUGUGUCGGAGCCACAUGCAAGAAUGGCUGACAUUGAGGCUCAGACAAAGCCCAAUGGCAACUGCUGACAUGCGAUUAAAUUUAGAUAUCCACAUCCAGCCAUUCACAUUUAUGAGAUAUGGACACGGUGCAAAUGGGUGGGGUCCUGAUAUGGAGGUGCGAAUGGCUGUCUACUUGUAUAGUGUAGCUCCAAUGUACGUAUAUGUAUCUUAUGCAUGUAUACAGUUGCACAAACUCUGAACCAACUCUUCAUAACAGGUCUUUGUUACCAAGUAACUUUACUUUUGCACGUUUCAGCCGAGAGGUAGAAGAGAAUAUUUUUGCAUUUUCCAUGUGCGUCAGUGGUAGAGAACUAGGAAUUAGUUCCGGAUGGUAGGGCACAAAUCUUCCAAACAACUAUCCGAAAUUAAGCAAUCGAGAUAAAGGGUGCCAUCUAUUCUCUCCGAAAAACACAGGUACCAAAAAGAAGAAGAGAAGAGGGAGGGCCUCCCGUUAAGGCCCGCUCGGGGUCUCCAUCCCACCACGCGCCCUCCCAACCCAAAGCCCAUCGUUUUCCCUCCGUCCCUCCCCUCUCCAUUGCCGCCGCCGCUCCCCUCAUCCGAGCUCGAUACGGGUGGUCGGCGGCCCCUCCUCUCCGCUCCCGCCCCCGGCCUCCCUUUGACCGCCGGGCGCCGGCAUCACUGCCGCGGCCAACCCCAGGGCGCAGCGCGUGCCUCUAUUUCUCUCCCCCGUUCAAGGGCCCUUUGAUGGCGACGAGCACCCACCCACCAGGUAUGCCCUCCCCUUCUCUUCCUAACCCUAAUAUAUUCGGAUCUCACCCAGUCACAAUAUAUUACCUAAUAGCUUCGAUUUUGUUUGCAAAAAUCAUCACGUGCGCACCCAUGUCCGCUAGAUUCUUGCGCCUGAUCCUGUGCUGCUAUGGUUUGGGCGGGGUAGACUAGUUGAUUCGUGCACUUUUGGGUGCUUGUAGUGCUAGGUUUUGGAGGGGGAUAGCCCAGUUGAUUCCUCCGUUUUGGGUGCUCAUGGUGAUAGGAUUUGGAUGGGGAUAGCCCCAAUGAUUCGUGCGCCUUUGGGUGCUGGGGAUAGUUUUGGGUGCCUGGAUAGUCCAGUUUCAAUGUCAGUAUAUGCGUAUUUUGGGGAGAAUUUUGUUUUGGGUGGUUCUGGUGCUAGAGUUUCUGAUGCUUAGUAGCCCAGUUUCAAUCAAAUUCCCCCAUGGGUCGUGCACUACGGGAAACAAGAAAAUUGCCGAGUGUAUUUUUUUUGUCGAGUGUUUUUUUUCGAGCACUCAGCAAACAAGCUCUUCGCCGAGUGCCAAGUCAAAAACACUCGGCAAAAAAAAACACUCGGCAAAUCGGGGCUUUGCCGAGUGUCAAAUAAAAAACACUCGGCAAAGAAGGGGGUUUGCCGAGUGUUAAAAAAAACACUCGGCAAACAGGAGGGUUUGCCUAGUGUUUUUUUGACACUCGGCAAAAAAAUAAUUGUUUUUCCUCUUUUCACCUUGAAAUUUUUUCUACUCCCCACAUACAACACGUGGUACUCCAUGUUAAAAUUUGGUAUAUUUUUGGAUUUAUUUGCUAUAUUUAUUUAAUUAAUUGCAUUACAAGGAAAUUUUUGGUAUAAGUCAAAUUUGAACUGCAAGUGAUUCAAAUUGUGGAACAAAAUGAGUAGAAAAAUGAUAUUCAUGUUAUUUGGCUCAAUUUGAGACCUGACCCAUGAAAUGAAAAGAAAUUUCGAACAUCUUGUUCAGGAAACACGACAAUGAACAUGUGGCGGUAGUAUUUUUAAAUUGUAAAAAAAACAAGCAAAGUCUGAAAAUCAUGAGAUUUGUAGUUAUGUGAUGAUAUAAUACGUGGAAGCUGUGGAAAAAAAUUGGAAAGGUUUUGCACAUUUCAUCAUGUACGAUGAUUACAAACCGAAGCAUAUCAGAAGAAGAAUAGUAACUUUGAGAAGGAUUCGAUAAAAUUUAGAGUCGAAGUGACGGUCGAGUUCGGUUUGACUACAAAACUUUUUGUAUAGUCAGUAGAGAACAUAUCUUAUUUCGUGUGAAAAUUUGGUAUUUUUUGAAACUGUUGGAUAUUUUUAAUUUUUUUUUAAAAAAACUUUGCCGAGUGUCCUAGGGUAGACACUCGGCAAAGAAAAACUUUACCGAGUGCCCGCCUAGGACACUCAGCGAACCUUUUUUUAAACCUACCGGCUCCGGCCGGCCCAGCCCACAAACACCACCCGCCCCCCGCCCCCGCGCCUUCUUCCUCACGCCGCCCCCGCCCCCCACCCGUGCCUCCGGACCGCCCCCUCCUCCCCCUGGCCUCCCCUCACGCCGCCCCCCUCCUCCCCUAGCUCCCUCCACCGGCGGCCCUCCCUCCCCCGGCGCACAUCCUCCACUCCUCCUCCCCUUCCCUUCCCUCCCCUCCCCUCCCCUCUUCCUCCCCUGGCCGGAUCUGGCGCCCCUAGCUCCCCUUUCUUCCGCGGCCAGAUCUGGCGCCCUCCCGGCGGCGGGUCGUGGCGAUCGGGGCGGCGGCGGCGGAUCAGGCCGCGGGGCGGCGGCGGCGGCGGGUCGUGGCUACCGGGGCGGCGCCCUGCCCCUCCCCUCCCUCUCCAUCUCCGGCUGCCGUCCACCCCCUCCCCGGAUCCGCCCCCCUCCCCUCCGCGCGGCCAGCCCCUCCUCCCUCUCCGGCCGCCGCCCCGGCCCCUCCUCUCCCUUUCUCCGGCCACCGCCCCGCCCAUCUUCUCUGGAUCCGGCCGGAUCCGGCCGCCGCACAGCCCCUCCUCCCCGGAUCCGGUGGGCGCGGACUUCGUGGUGGUGGCGCCGGAUCCCUCCCCUCCCUCUCCAGAUAACUCCCUCCACUCCUCCGCUCUUCCCCUCUCUCGCGCGGCGGCCUCUCUCCGGCCGCCGCCCCGCCCCUCUCCCCGGAUCCGGGGGGGGGGGGACUCCGCCCCUCUGCCCCGGAUCCAGCUCCCCGACCCGCGAGUGGGGCGAGCUUGCUCAUGCGGUCGACGUCGAGGCCAGGGUGUGGUGGAGGUGGUGGCCGGCGGGUGUGGUGGUGGUGGCGGCGGCGGGCAUGGCGGCGCGGAGGCAAGGCACGGCGGCCGGUGGGAGGCACGGGUGCAAGGCGUCGACGGCAGGAGGCAAGGCACGGCAGCAUGGGAGGUGGUGCUGUGGUGGUGGUGCUGGCGGUGGUGGCGGCGGCGGAGCAGGAUGUGGUGGUGGCGGAGGAUGUUUUUUUUUCAAAAAUUUGUUGCCGAGUGUUUUCUCGGCACUCGGCAAAGACUUUACCGAGUGCCCGACACAAAACACUCGGCAACUCAGUGUUUGCCGACUGAAAAAUUGCCGUGUGCCGUUUGCCGAGUGUUACACUCGGCAAACGGUUCGCCGAGGGUUUUUUGCCCUUCGCCGAGUGCCCCUAGCACUCGGCAAUUUCACUAUCUCCCGUAGUGGUGGCUGGACUUAUGGGGGGAUCAUUGAUGGGGGACUAGUUGGAUACUUUUUGGCUGUUUUGGGAGUCCUUGGCAGCGGCUUCUCAGGGCGUACGUAGCCCAUUGUAGAUUCCAGCCGAGAAGAUUAAGGAAUUGUGACUGCAACCAUGUUACUUUUCUAGGACUCUGUUUCUGAUAUUGUUCCCGCUGCAUCUUUUCAUCCCCAUGGUGAAUGUUGCUGUUGAUCUGUAGAUUGGAUUUGUUCCUCGGUAGCUUUAUUAGAUUUGUGCUGAAUGAUAAUCUCUGCCUGUGAUAUUUUUCUUCAUUGCGGAUGUGUGCCGAGUAUUAUCCCCUUUGUUCAUUCUGUUGGCUUUUUUUAUUGUCUCUGUACUCGGCUGUUCAGCUUGUGCAGCUAAUGAUCUAAUGUAUUUUGUCGUAACUAUGUAUUUUUCGGAUGUGUGCCGAGUAUUAUCCCCUUUGUUUAUUCUGUUGGCUUGCUUUCAUUGAUCUUAAGAUAACUGGUGCUAUAAAUUCACACUAGCUGAUGCACUUGCAAAUAGCUAUGUAAAUAUGAAAAGAAGUAUUUUUUUAUCCUUUUGUUUGUUUGGCAUCAUAUCUGUUUAAAUGGCAUAGCAAUAAGAAUUUUUUGUUUUUGGGGAAUCAUAUCUGCUUAAAUGGUAUAGAAAAUGCUGAGUGCACUGUCAAAUAGAUUUUCCAGCAGUCUGCUUUCAGUUGUUUUUGCAAAUCCUCACAGGCCAGUGAACUGACUUUGUUUUUACCACCCCAUGCCAUUUAAAUGACUAAAUCAGUCAGCCUAAUACUAUAUAUGGUCAUGCUAUGAUCUUAUUUCUUGAAGCUCUAUAGGUCAACCCAUAAGGGUAACUUAGUUUUUCCUAUUCUGGCUGGGGAAGUGGAUACGAUGGCUAUCCUUGGUAGAGUUAAAUACAUUGGCGGCUCUUAGCGCGCCAAUGUGGCACCACAAUAUCGAACAUAUGUAGAAACCCCCUUGUUUUUUCUCAUAUCCCUCUCUCUCAGCGUCCUCUUCUCUUCUUCUCCUCUGUCUCCUCCCCUCCCAUCGCGUGCUUUAUUGCGCCGCCGCCAUCCGCCUCCAUGUAUGAACACGUCGUUUGUCAUGAAGAAGCAGUUGAUGAGGCAAUCAAGCAUGUGGUGCACAAGGUUCUUCUGCUGGCCAAGUCCGAGUCGAACAGCCGCGCAUUCAUUGGGGAAGCACGCGCCAGGCAUCACCAGGCUCCUCGUGCCCCUACUCUGCUCCAAGGACUCGGUGCUUCGACGCGCUGCUUUCCCUGUCCGGCGAGCGGGGAUCGUUGGGAGAUGAUCGAUGGAGGAUGGAGCUGAUCCUCCUGUACACGGUGCCGGUGGGGAGCAGGGAGCUGCGGAGCAGGUCCACGGGCGGCGCCAUUACAGCAGGUGCAGGCUAAGGGUAAUGAGCAGAUCGAGGCGAUGGAGGAGGACCCGCACGAGGUGCAGCUUCUUCGCCUCCUGCGCAAAGUCAGCGCCCAAGCAGCCGCUGAGGGACAGGCCGAGGCUUAGCUCGAUCUCAUCCGACUAAAUGGUGGCUGCACUCCCACAGUCCCACUGGUGCUCCUCCCUUCUGUCCGAACCUGCCGAGGAAAUCCCUCGAUGCCAUGGGUCCCGGCUGGACGACUACUCCUCCCACAGAUUGACUGAGGAAGAAGAGCUUCUCAGUGUCCAAAAAUUCAGUUACACUGGAAACAGCAACCAAUUACGUUCUUCCGGCUCAGCCAAGCCCCAAUCUCCUUGCUUCUGUGCGCCCCUGCUAAAUAUUCCAGAAACCAAUCUGGUUAGUUGUUUUUUCACAUUUUCAGUGCAUGCCGGUGCUGCUGUGUGCGGCAUGCAUGGAGUUGUCGUGGGAGUGCACGGUGGCUUAGCUGGUGCGCCAGUGCGCGGGCACGAACACAACGGUGAAGAUGGCAGGGCCAUCUCAAAGCUCCUGAGCACCUGCACGCGUCGCUGAGCAGGACAUGCUGCGACGGUGGGCGAGCGCUGCUAACGCCCUGGGGAAGAGCAGUGGGUGCAGAGAGAGGGAGCGAGGGAGAGGGGUUCUUGUAUAUGUUUGCUAGCGUGGCACCGUUUACGGUGCCCGCCUAAGUGGCAUUCACGUGUCAUUCAUCCCAAAUGGUGUUGCAAGGUUGAACCUAUUGUGGGAGGCUUUUGGUUUCCCUUGACAGUAUCACCAGUGAUAUCACUGCGUUCUGGUUAUGUAUGAAACACUUGUCCUUUUAAAACCUUUCUGAAUUUAGAAACGAAUUUGAAACAUUACCCUCAUUUCCAUGUUUUUCUAUCUUUUGUCCCUGUAAAAUCAAACUAAAUUUGAAUUAUUAUGUUCAGAACUACAAGCUGAUUUACUUGUCCCAUUUGCUAAUAACAGGGCCUUGUGAUUUCUAAUGAACAUUGCAGAGCAUGUUAUAAAGCGUAUGCAUGAACACCAAGGGGAUGAAACCAUUGGUAUAUUUCUCACAACCUUUUGAACUUAUCAUUUAGCAUAUUUGUGUUCUAGUGUGACGUUUCAGCCACGAGACAUGAGAAAUGUUAGCUAUGGAUUUUGGUUAUUCAUCAUGGGUUCACAGAUUUGUUUUUCUCUAAAAGAAUUGGGAAGUAGCUUUCUUUCUGGGUAUAUGUGGGGAAAUGCAUAUGCAAUCUUUUAUUUAUUGAGGUGACUGUAAAAUUCUUGUCUGACUGAAUAUGCGAUUUCAACCUACAUGCUAUACUUAGGGAAAUUUGUGAAUCUCCUAAUGUCUGCUGCAUGGCAUGAAUGCAUAUUUUACUGGUCCAUAAUGUGAAGUUCUGUAUAUAAACUUCUCGUGUUGACCCUUUAGAACAUGCUAACUGGAGAGUUUUCUAGAGUAGUUAAACAAGAGAUUUAGUUAAAUCUGCACACAUAGGUGGGGCCUGGCAUACCCUAAGAAUCGGCCUAGCCGGUCAGCCCAUUAGUAAAAAAAAAAGCACCGCAGUCAGCAGUCCCCACGUUGGUCUUCCUCGAGUCGCGACUCGCGAAGCUCCCAUCCUCCGAGUCCAAGAUGGUGGACUGUGUCGAGCGCGGGGCGGGCGAUUAGUUGCCCGGCCGCCGGCGGGGGAUGGCCGGACGGCCAGAUCGCCGACUCCUCUAGUCCUCCCUCCAGCCUCUGCGCUUCUUUCACAGUGGAGCUAGCGGCGAGGCGCCCGACCGACACCCUUCUUCCCAAAUCCCGGCAGCCCUACCUCGAUUUGGCCUCCUCCGAUCAUUUGAUAAUCAAUUUGAUGAAAUUAAUAUGGAGUUGCUUUCUUGUAUGGUUGCCUUCAAUCCUGCUAAUUCAUUUGCUUCAUUUGAUGCACAAAAGAUACAUAGACUUGCUAUAUUUUUAUCCACAAGACAUCACAAGCACGGAUUUGCUAAAACUUGAAUUCCAGCUCGAUAUUAUAUUGAUGAUGUGAGAUAGGAUGAUAGUUUCAAAGGCCUACAAGAUCUUGUUAACUGAGACUCAGUUAAGCUUGUUGAAACAAACAGGCAUAAUAUUUAUGACUUGGUUUACUUGCUUCUCAAAUUGGUAUUGGUUCUUCUUGUGGCGACAGCUAGUGUUGAAAGGGAUUUUUGUGCAAUGACUUUGAUCAAGAGUAAGCUAAGAAAUAAGAUGGGUGAUAGUCUUUUGGAUGAUUGUCUUAUCACAUUCAUUGAGAAAGAUAUUUUCUUUGAAGUGGAUGAAGAAGAUAUAAUUAAGACUUCAUAUCCAUUAGAAAUCGUAGGCUGGAGAAGAAGUAAUAUUUUAAUUUUCUUUGAACGUUAGGUCUGUAAGCUUCUUUUAAACUAUCUACAUUAUAAUUUAUGGACCUUUUAAUUUAACCGUUGAAUUCAUGAUAUUAUGAGAUUUUUUUAUCUAUGUUAUUAUUGUUUACCGAUUUAUUACCAAAUUAUUAGUUUGAUCUUACAAUAUUGUAUUUUGGAUGAUUGGCUCGGCAUACUCUAAGUUUAAAUCCUAGCUCCGCCACUGUUUGCACAUUAAUGUGGCUUAUAUGUGUGGAGUCACUUAACCUAUGCACUUGGACCUCCACUCCCUUAGGUUUUAUGAACCUAAUUUGACAGCCUGCUCGUCUUUUAUUUUCUACCAAUCAGCUAGGAACGAACAUGGUGAUGUUUGCAUCUCUGCCAUCAAUGGCUUACAUGUCAUUAUGUAUCACAUUAGCAAGUCUUGUUUUGUUAUUGGCUGGGAUGACGGGGACUCUAGCUGGAAUUGAAUCAAAGUGGUAGAUCACAGGGUAUUCAUUGCCAUGUAUUUCUGCAGUUGCAUGGACUUGCAUCAAACGGACCUUCCUACUUAUGUGAUUGUCCUAUAUGAUCUCCUUUGAUUUCAUUUGCACACUGUAAUCACAUUAGCUAGAACACUCGCUUUUUGCUUCAAAUUUGAAAUUCAUAUCAUGAUGGACUAGAACGCUGAAUUUCUUGAUUGCUGAGUUACUAAUCACAUUGUGGCGCUGCCAAAGAAGCUGGACUCUUCAUUGUUGUUGCCUUGUGGGCUGCCGUGUGCAAAGAACAAGAGCGCACGGUAUUAUAAUAGCAGAGCAGAACACAGACAAGCGACAAGGAGCGGAGCAGAGCAGAGCACAGCCAGGCACAAGCAGUAGAGUAGAGCAGAGCAACCGGGAGAGGAGAGGGCACAUAUGCAGAGUAGAGCAGAGCCAAGCGCAAGCAUUCAUGCACUCAAGCAUGCAGCAGAGGUGUAGCAAGGCAAGCACAAGCAGCAGAGCAGAGGGAAGGGAAGGCUGGGAGAUGAAUAGGCGAAUAGUUACCUGGACAGAGCAGAGGGAAUGGAGAUGAUGCAGAUGCUUCCGGAGACUCGAGAUUUGGAGAGGAACAAGGCCACGUUGUGAACAAGGUCUCCUUUCUCUUCUCUAUUUCCCGCGCAAGUACUUGUGCAUAGUGGCUGCCUCAUCCUCCAGGACGUCCACUUCAACCUGAGGCGGGUGCCACAGACAUCCUGGCUAUGCGACGGCUACCCCCAGCACACCCCCGGCGCCUAUGAACCAUGAUCCUAAUACUAUAAAUUGUCAACCUUGUAAUCUUAUUUCAAGCAUGCUCUCUAUGUCAACCUGUAAGGUUAACUUCGUUUUUCCUUUUCUGGGUAGGGGAGUGGAUAUUGCUGUUAUUUAUAUUAUGUUGAUAUUGGUUUCCACAUGUCAUUCACCCCAAAUGUGUUGCAAGGUUGAACCUAUCAUCGGAGGAAUUUUUUUCCCUUUACCUUUAUAUCACUACGCUCUGGUUAUGUAUGAAACACUUGUCUUCUUAAAAACCUUAAUUUAGAAACAAAUUUGAAACACUAUCUUCAUUUACAUCCUGUAUGUGUUUUCUACCUUUUGUCCUAUAUGAUCUGCUUUGAUUUGAUUUGUGCAUAGUUUUUUCAAUUCAGACCUGGUGAUUUCUGAGGUUCAUGUUGUGCUGAUAAGCAGCCUACUAUUCAGUAACACUUUCAUGUGGCAUGUUCAUGUUAGCUAGCUAGAAACACUGCUUUUAGCUUCAAAAUUCAAAUUCAUGACAUGAUGGACAUUGACAAUGAAUUUCUUGAUUGCCGAGCUAUGUACACUGUAAUUCAGACCUGGUGCUUUUAGUUUUUUUCUUGAUUGCCGAGCUAGAAACACUGUGCUUUUAGUUUUUUCAAUUCAGACCUGGUGAUUUCGGUUUUUUCAAUUCAGACCUGGUGAUUUCUGAGGUUCACGUGUCACACCGAUUUUAAGAACAAAAUCGAGUGCAUUAAAUAUACAUGUACGCUAGGAUCAGGUUACACACAUGUACGACAUAAGCGAAUAUCAAAGACAAUGCCAUAACGAAAUAAAGAGAGUAUUAAUCAUUAUUACAUGACCGAAAGUCUCAAAUAAACCACAAAAUCUAUUUAUUACAUAGCGGAACUUCUAAGAUAGCAACGUCUCCACAGGCAGCUGACUGAAGAACUGUAUGCCUAGAACUCUUCAAAAUCGUGCAGGUACUCCUCCAGAUUAGCUUGGUAUGAACAACGGUUUUGCAAGGGUGAGUACACUUAUGGUUGGUACUUAAUAAGUCGUGGGAAACAAUGUAGUGUAAGGCAAAUCAAGGUAUGGCUAAGGCUUAAACAGCAUCAGCUUUUAAUUUAGUUGGUCAAAUUUUAUUAGCAAUUAAUUAGACGUAAAUUUAUACCACCCGAAAUUAAACAAGAACAUGAAUAAAAUAAUAACAUAACCAUAAAUGAAAUGACAACAAUUUAAAUCCAUCUUUUCAUAGCAUUAUCAUGUGAGGGUCCAGUCCGUUCUUAACCGUGAGCACCGCUGAUCGAUCAGUUUUACACUCUGCAGAGGUUGUACAUCUUUACCCACAAGUCGCGUAAAAGUUCAAAAGAAUUUUGGACCCAACCAUGCGGUAUUUGCAAGGCACCAUACCACACUUCCAAGGUGUGAUUGCAUAUGAACGCUACGAGGCCUUUACAAAGAUUCAUUAGUAAGUGGUAACCCGCUAAGGUUUCGGUAUUUGGCGUGCACAACCUAUCACAGGCCGCUAAUGCAACGACUCAGUCCCCCCUCUUGCCUCAUCACGAGUAAGAUUACCCCAGACUAAGGUUUCUAAUUAUUCAGCCAAGAUCAGAACCAUUUAGUCUUGUGGUAGCACUGUUUUCCUGGGUGGUUCUCCAUGUUCCGAUUAAACAUAAUGGUCUUGUAUUAAUGGAAGGUAUAACAUAAAUAAUACCAAAUUAAUAAUAAUUCAGAUUAAAUCACCAUAACCAUAUUUGAGCACUAAGCAUGAGCUACCCAACAUAAAUUUAACCCGGUUGGUCAAGGCAAGGUAGAUAAAGUCUAGGAAAUUCUUAAUUGGGACCCAUCAAGUUUAAAUUAUACUUUGCAUGGUAUGUUGCAUAGAACAUGAAAGUAAAUGUGAAUAGGACUGAAAAGGAGUGAUUAGGGACACGACUUGCCUUUUUAACCUUGUUCUUGCUGUUCGUACUCUUCGAAAACUUUGAUCUUCAAAUCCCUUGAACUGCUGACCGUCUACACGCGUCACACGACCACAUACAAGCAAACAAAUAUAAUACAUAAGAAAACAGUACACCAAUCAUAAUUAAAUAGAAGAAACAAAUUUGAAAAGCUAUUCUACGCAUUAAAACGAAAACACGGAUACAAGGAACGUUAAAAACGGAGCUACAGUGCAAAAACUACGCUUAAAACAAGAUGCAGGGGUAUAACUACGAGAAACCAAACUUCCAGGGAUUUAAUUUUAAAUAAUUUUGAACUGCAGAAGGGGCAGCAGGGCAAAACGUAGAAAAUGCAGGGGCUUAAGCGCAAAAGCAUGGCUGCUGACUCAGCUGACUUGAUGUGGAUCGUCGGAUGGCGAUCCGGCGGCCGGCAGCUGCUGCGCUGACGUCAGCGACGGCGAGCGCCGGCGAAAAACGGCAGUUCGCCGGAAUCGCCCGGGAACGCGCGACUGGGUGCAGAUUUGAGCGAGGAUUAGACUAGCAGAUAGAAACGAGCGCAGUGAACUCAUUUGGGAUGCCUACGGCGAGGACUUGGCGACGGCAUCGGCUCCGGCGAGAACUUGCGGCAGGGAAACCAAAUAAAAUAAAAUAACACGGUUCAGAGAAGCGGCGCUGGAGGAACGCGAGCGAUUUUGCGUGCGAGCGGAAGAAAACACUGCGAGGAAGAUGACUGCGGGCCCUGCUUGUCUGCGGCAGGAGGAGAGCUGCGUGCGAGAAGAACCUGGCCACGAUCUGGGCCGUUGCCUUCGAUCUGGGCCGAGGCAAGCUAGCUGGCCCGCUGCUGCGGAAAGGUGCUGGGCCACGGGCGGAGCACAGCGUCGGGCCAGAAAGGAGAUGGCUGCUGCGAGGAAACAAAAGAAAAUGAACUGGGCUGCGACAGAGGAAAACUGGGCGUCGGCCAGAAAGAAGCUGCGUGCAGCUUGCUCUUGUUUCCGAACUAGAAACAGGAACUGACGGAAAGACAGAAAUCAAUUGGAGACUGAAACUGACGCCCCAGACUCUGAACUUCGAAAAAACAGGACAACCAGCCAACUGACAGAAAAAAAAAAGCUUAACAACCCAAAAGCAGUACACAACCACGAAACCAGGCCACAAGACUGAAAAAGCUUGAUAGGAACAUCUGGCGACUGAACCAAAAAACUACAGAACUGCAACUGAAGAACUAGAGAACAGAUAAAUAACUGAUUGAACUCUGAAACUGAAACACCAAAGAGCAGGAAGCUGACUGACGGAAAAUGCAAAACAGCAACCCAAGGUGAAACACAAAUUCUUCUUCAAGCAUUCAAACAAAGAGAUAUGCAACAGCAUGAAUGCUCAAUAAAAUCCUAUAUUUCAUUAAUUAAUUAGAAAAAAUGCUCAAAUGCCUAGAAAAAUGCAAAAGUGACCUUAUAUGCCUUAAACAAGCAAAUUCGUUUCUAGCGAUUUUUGGUAAAAUGCAAAAUUAGAGAUUUUGGGUGUUACAUCAUGUUGUGCUGAUAAGCAGCCUACUAUUCAGUAACACUUUCAUGUGGCAUGUUCAUGUUAGCUAGCUAGAAACACUGUGCUUUUAGCUUCAAAAUUAAAUUCAUGACAUGAUGGACAUUGACAAUGAAUUUCUUGAUUGCCGAGCUAUGUACACUGUAAUCACAUUGUGGGGCUGAUAAAAUAAGCAGCGUUGAGACACAUAACAAUUGAAUCUUAAGCUUCACACAGAAUCUGGACCAGUCAUCCUCAUUCCUGUCAUGCUGGAAAUGUCUUUGAUACAUUUCAAUCACAGGCAAUUGAAUUCGUACUGGGGAGGAUGGCAAUGGUGCAUGAAGAGAGAUCAAUGUGGCAAAUCUCACAUUGUUCAUUACCAGGUAUCUCCGAUUUCUGGUUAUUUUAAAUUUACCUUGACAUGUGACUUAUUGAGGUAUUGUAUUUCAUCUAAUGGUAGUUCUGAAUUUAUGGUAACCUUGGAUGGGGUUUGUCACUUUAUACACGCACGGACUUACAAAGGACAGCAAAUGAGUAUAUUUAGAGGGCUCCUGUCCAACCAUGGACUAUACUUAUGUACCCUUUUUUGACAUGGUAAUUUGAGGUUAAUGGAAAAGUAGCGAUAGUCGCCUCCAGCGAAGCUACCUUCUUCGAAAGCUCCGAGGCUGCUUUCUCGCUCUUAGCAAGCCGAUCCCUCGUAAUCAUCGAAGAGUAAGAGACCUACAGAUUUUAAAAACCAAGUUACCAAAAAUAACGAAGUAAAAGACAACACUCGCAAGACAAACCACCAAACUAUCUCAUAAUUGUACCUUCUUUACGAGGUUCGCCUCCAAGUUAAAGAGCUCUUCCAAGAUCAUUGACUUCACAGCUUGCUGAAAAUCUAUGCGCCAAAGGAUAUAGUCGUAAGCAUAAAAUAAAAAUUGGUAAAAACCAAGGACAGCAAAGCCAUCUACAAGCUGUUCUUACCCUCAUACUUUCGCACCUCAACGGCGAUCGGAACAACCUUCUCUCUAGCCUCGCCCUUAGACGCCACCACAAUCUUCCCGCCACACAAAUCCACAACCCCUCCUUUACCUUUGCCCUCUCCCGAAGUCGUCGUGCCCGCCUUCUCCACCCUUUUUGAACCGCCAACAUCUGCAUAGCGCUCGCAACCUUCACCUUCAGCCCCCCAGACCAAAGACAGGUUGUGAGGAUUAUAAACCCUACCUUCGGCGCAUGUAGCUAGAAUCUCCGUGCGCCCGCUCAAGCCCAGACACUCAUUCAGUCCCUGAAGCCCCGCCGGCAACCUCUCACCUACAUCAUAACAUUCAACUUUUAGCCUCACAUGAUCCUCACAACUAACCUUACCAACGCCCCCCAUAGUUUCUUCCAAGUCCUUCAAAAAUUUCGUUGAGGCCUCACCACAAUCAAAGAACCGUAGCAUCGAUAGAAACACCUCUACAUGCUUACCAGAUCUCACAGCUUCGGCACACCCACCCUUUGGAUCAGAUGAGAACGCAUCCACAAGCUUCGCCUUUUCGGUGGCAAACCCCCUCUCAAGUUUCCCAACAUCAGUCAAGAGAUGUUGCGCGCUCUUAAACUUCGAGCUUAUGGAAGGCACCGUGAUCUUGGUACCAGCUGCCGAAGACGCGUCAACCUUGGCACCCGUAACAGUAACAGGAGCAAAUCGAGGUUUCUUGGCGCCUCUUUUGAUCCGUGCGGCGGGCCCGGUGGAUGAAGGUGCAAGAGCUGGAACCUCCUUAGGAGGGCGCAUAGAGACAGGAACAACAUAUGCCGGAUUGCUCAAGUCGCCAGACGAAGCUGUCGACCACGAUGGCAACAUAGCAGACGAAGCCCCCGCGGUCAUUUCCUUCCUUUUUUGCGCCUCCAAAUUCAAGGUCUUUUGCUUCGCCUUAGCGGUCACUUGCAAUUCAAUAGUGAGCUUCACCAUGGGUACGAAGUCAAAUUUUGCCUUUUUCCUCUGCUCAAGACUAGCACCGCGACGGCGCCUCUUGCCCGUAACUUUGGGGUGAGGCAGAACCACAAUAUCAUACAAGUCAAAAAUCUAAGAUGAUGACAUUCCAUUUGUAUCCAUGAUUUAUAUUGUGUUCCUUGAAUAUCCAUUAAAGUCUACUUGAAUUGAUUUGCAAUUAUGUGAAUUGUAUGUGAAACUCUUUCCUUGUAUGGUUAUUCUAAAGUUGUCCCUAGUCGGAGUUCAUGUGAGGACACAUGAAUAUUAGACUAGCACAUGUAUUAGUUGAUGACUAUGUUUCACAAGUCAUGGACAUGAAGAUGUGGAACUAAUAAUGUGGGCACAUGUGGAGACACGUGCUAGGACUGACCCAACACGAGAAGUAGUUCUCUCUUUAUACAACAUAUACGCUUUGUCCUUAGACCUGAGAUUGUCGCAUGUACUCAAGAUGUGGAUCGACUUACUUAGGGGCUAUCAAAUUCUACGCCGUAACAGGGUAGUUAUAAAGGUAGCUUUCGGGUUUGUCAAGAAGCAUGCUAUGAGACAUGGUCAAUCAAGAUGGGAUUUGCCCCUCUCUGAUUGAGAGUGAUAUCUCUGGGCCCCUCGAGUGAUCGGAUCCGAAAAUGCAUGGCCAUGCUACAUACGAUUAAGAGUUAGCCUACAAAAGGAUUCCGAAUCAUAGGAUCGAGAAAGAGCGGUCGGCUUGAAGCUAGACCAAAUAUCGUGAGGCAAAGGGAAUAGCAUGUAUAUAAUGUUGUGAUGGUUCGUCUGAUAUGAUCUUCGUGUGCGUAUAGGAGUUGGCACGUCUUGCUAGAGGUCGCUACCGACUAUUGGGCCGAGUAGGAGUACUCAGGCCAUGUCUAUACGUAUCCGAACCCAUAGGGUCACACACUUAAGGGGCUGGAAGCCCAAUUCGGAUGUGAUCCGAAUUGGAUUAGGUUUAGAAGUACUAAUGGGCCUUGGACCUAGAGGCCCGUUAGGAACCUCUAUAAAUAGAGGGGUGGGGGCGCCCUAGGGUUUACACCUUUUUGGUGAAACACAUCUGCCGCGCCUCCCACGCCUUCGCCUGUUGCAACUCGCGGACCUAGCAGUCCGGCUUGCGACGCUUCCUCCCUGCACGUGUGGAUACCUUGGAAGUGUUGCUCCUGCAGCACUUGGACGAGCCGCCAACGAGCCACGACGAGCCACGAUGAGCCGACGAUGAGCCGCGGCACGAGGGGGAUCUUGCUGCACGUGGACGAGCUGCUGAGGAGCUGCUGGACGUCGAUGUGUUCGACUACGUACGACUACGCUGAUCGACUUCGCUGCAUCAACGCGAAUCUACAUCUUCCGCAUCAUUGCAUCGAGUGGUAAUCCCGUGAUCCUGAUACGGCAGUUUUCCUAGUUUACGCGGUAGAAAAUUUUGUUUUGUGCUAGUGUAGCCUAACUCAUAUCCCAACAACGUGUGCUAUAGGUCACGCAAGCCUGAAAAUGGCCACACCGGACACCGGGUACGAAAACAUGGGGGAUGGACCGAACAUUUGAAAAUGGCCUCCAUAUGUGUUUUCGGCUAUGAAAAUGUGUGUUAUAGGUCACAGAAGCUUGAAAACGGCCGCACCAGCCACUAGGGACGAAAACGUGGGGGAUGGACCAAAGACAUAAAAAAUAGCCUCCAGACGCGUGUUCGGCCAUGAAAACGUGUGGUAUAGGUCCUGGAAGGCCAAAAACAGCUACACCGGCCACCUGGGACGAAAAAGUUUGUGUAAGACCGAACACUUGAAAAUAGCCUCUGGACGCGUGUUCGGCUAUGAAAAGGUGUGUUAUAGGUCACACGAGCCCCAAAACAACCACAGCGAACACCAGCUACAAAAACAUGGGGGAUGGAUCGAAUAAUUGAAAAUGGCCUCCAGACGUUUGUUCGGCCAUGAAAUCGUGCGUUAUAGGUCGCGGGAGCCCGAAAACGGCCACACCGGCCACCGGGAAUGAAAAUGUGGGGGAUGGACCGAACAAUUAAAAAUGGCCUCCGGAUGUGUGUUCGGCCAUGAAAACGUAUGUUAUAGGUCACGGGAGCAUGAAAACGGCCGCACUGGCCACUGGGGACGAAACGUGGGGGAUGGACCGAAGACGUGAAAAUAGCCUCCAGACGCAUGUUCGGCCAUGAAAAUGUGUGCUAUAGGUCAUGCAAGGCCAAAAACAGCUGCACCAGCAACCGGGGACGAAACCAUGGCUGUCAAACCGAACGCUUGAAAAUCGCCUUCGGACGCGUGUUCGGAUAUGAAAACAUGUGUUGUAGGUCACGCGUGCCCGAAAACGUCCACAACGGACACCGGGUACAAAAACGUGGGGGAUGGAUCGAAUAACUGAAAAUGACCUCCGAACGCGUGUUCGGCCAUGAAAACGUGUGUUAUAGGUUGCGGGAGCCCAAAAAUGGCCACACCGGCCACCGAGGAUCAAAACGUGGGGGAUUGACCGAACAAUUAAAAAUGGCCUCCGAUUGUAUGUUCGGCCAUGAAAACGUGUGUUAUAGGUCAUGGGGGCCCAAAAAUGGCCGCACCAGCCACCAAGGACGAAAAUAUGGGAGAUGGACCAAAGACAUGAAAAUGGCCUCCAGAUGCAUGUUUGGACAAAAGUGUGUGCUAUAUGUCGUGCAAGGCCAAAAACAGCUACACCAGCCACCGGGACAAAAACGUGGGUGUUUGACUAAACAAGUGAAAAUGGCCUCCGGAAGCAUGUACGGCUAUGAAAAUGUGUGCUAUAGGUAAUGGAAGGCUAACAAAAGCUACACCGGCCACCGGGGACAAAAUCAUGGGUGUCAGACUGAACACUUCAAAAUGGCCUCCGGACGCGUGUCCGGCUAUCAAAACGUGUGUUAUAGGUCAUGCGAGCCCGAAAACAACCACACUGAACACCGGGUACAGAAACAUGGGGGAUGGACUGAAUAACUGAAAAUGGCCUCUAGACGCGUGUUCGGUCAUGAAAACAUGUGUUGUAGGAUGCGGGAGCCCGAAAACGGCCACACCGGCCACCAGGGCAUGGACCAAACAAUUGAAAAUGGCCUCCGGAUGUGUGUUCGGCCAUGAAAACGUGUGUUAUAGGUCACGGGAGCCCAAAAAUAGCCGCACCGACCACUGGGGAUGAAAUCGUGGGGGAUGGACCGAAGAUGUGAAAAUGGCCUCCAGAUGCGUGUUCGGCCAUGAAAACGUGCGCUAUAAGUCAUGUAAGGCUAAAAAUUGCUACACCGGGACUAAAGCAUCCCCCAUGAGUUACAAUAAAAGGAUUGUAUCCUCUACUCAGUCGGAUGUACUGUGUAGGUGAGAUGGUAAGGAAGCUAUGCGCGAGGUUUGAGGUUGUGGGUUGAAAUCCUACGCACCGCGCGCACACGCGCAUAUUUUGUGUGAAAAAUCAUGUGACUUGUGAUCGGCCAAGGAGAAGUGGGUGCAGCUGUGGCUUAAGUGGCUGAGGCACGCUGCCAUAGACAUCUCCGAUUUGCUCGAAGACUACCAAGACACUAGCAAUAACAAGAACUACUGCUCUUCCUAGCAGACUCUUUACAACCACUUUAAAGCUGUGCAUUUCUCAAUGUAAUUUCGUAGAAGGCAAUCGAUCCAACCAAGCGACUAAAUCAUUUGUUCUUGCCAAUGAUGUACAUCAGGUUUUCUAUAUGAAGGACAUGUCUAGCAAACCUAAGAUUUUAGAAGAAAAAGAAAAAUUAUGGGAGUCAAUAAUAAAUCAGGCCAAUCAGGAGAUUAUAGUAAGCUCGAUGGUAUGCCUCCAUUCGAUGUCGAAGUUGGCCCAAGCAUCAUGUUAGCCAAAGAUCAAAUGUUCGUGCAUUGCUACGGUAAAGAUCAAUUGUGUCUUUUAAACCCAUGGAAUUUUUUAUCUAUGUUUUUAUUACACUUAAUGGAUGUCUACACAUUUGCUAGAAAAUCAAAAUAAUUUUGACUUAAUUAUUUCUUUCAACUCAAAUACUCAUUAAAUUUCUACCUUUUUAUUUAAGCAAGAGAGUUGCUCAAAAAAUGGAUACGUAACCAUGUUGUAUCAUACAAAGCAACCACAUUUCACAUAUAGUCUGGCUUAGCAAACACCAUUGUUGUCUUAACAUAGUGUUCAUGAGUUAGUAGACAUGGAUCUAUUUCUAAUUGCAAGUAGUGCAGCGUACAACCAGCCUGCACCGCCGCAGCUCAAUAUGCGAUAAUUUUUUAUCUUCCCAUGUAAUUUUUCUACUCUAGUACAUAUUGAACUCCACAUAAAUGUCAUGUUCUUUCACGCCACAGACGGUUUCUAAAGUUUGGAACUAAAUAGAUAGCCAAAAAUUUUAAAAAAAUAUUUAUAUGGAUACAUGUAUGUUCUUUGCAAACUAACAAUAUUGUUUACAAUAUCAAAAGGAAUAUGGCUAUGAUCAUUGCCGCAUAUGGCAGGUGAUGGUAGAUGCCGUAUGGGGUUUCUUUAACUUAAUUGUAUAAUAAGCUGAAAUACAUUUUCUAUUUGCAAAUGAAUCAUAGCUGAAAGUGGUGGGAUUGUAGAACCGCCGGCCAUCGUGUCCUUGUAGGACCGCUGCACGAGCCUGUGAGCCACCAGCCACCAUGCGCCCAAGGGCCAUCACCACGCCAUAAGAGGAUGCUGUCUACCCGGUUUCGCGCGCCUGUGCUAGCUGCCUGAACCUGGGCCGCCGCCGGUCGCCUGCCCAGCCGCGCGUUGCGCCAGGGUUUUGCUGGUGACGACCAUGGCCUUCGCGAUCAAAUUAAAAAGUUAUCAACUGCAAAGUAUUAGGUCUCGUUGAGCUCUACAAUUUUGAUAUAAAGUUUCUAUUCAUCCGAGAUCAAAUAAAAAAUUUGAUACUCAAAGCAUAAAUCCAUUAAUCUAGUCUUGCUAAUCCUUACCACCAAAUAAAAAACUAGCAUGUGUUGUGUGUUUGUGACCCUAAACGAUCACAAAUGAAUAACUUAUGGGCCUUGCUAGCGCCCGGAUGUCCAGGCCGGGGCACUAGCAUCAGACCCACGAGUAGCCGUCCGAUCAGGUUCGACACCACUUCAGGAUCUGGCUUAAAAAGAAGUCCCACCGAAACAUUGUUCCAUGUUGCAUGAAGCAACCCACUACCGUCGCCAGGUCUAGAGCAAGCACCACCUUCAAAUGUGCUGCUCACCCUAGCUAAAUAGGGGCAUUAAAAUAUUUCUCGCAUAUCCUUCUCAAAUUAAACAAAAUCGCAACAUCUGAAAAUUUUUACAGAAAACCAUGAAACAUAUCGAUUAGAUAGAUGUAACAAGAUGGAAUAUGGUAUAUGCAACAUAUAGGUUCCGAAAAGCAGAUGAAAUAUUAUGUAAUGAUUCUUGAAACAGUCAAGAAAAAUAGAUGUAACAUCUAAAAUUAAGAAAAGAAGCUUUAUGCAAAUUGCAAAAAGCUGAAACAAGUGGUUGAAACAUUUCAAAUCACCAAAUGCCACAUUUGAAAUGACCAGAUGAAACAUCACGAAAUCAAUUGCAACAGUUGAAGAUGAAAACAUUCAAAUGCCUUGCCUUUCUCCAAAUUUGACCCUCCAAGCAUGAGUCCAGCCAUUUGCACAUUAGACCCUUGGGAGGAGCUCACCGGAGAACAACAAGACCGUGUUAUCCAACAAUUUUCAGAUCAAAUUGCAACAUAAAGAACAAAGCAUUGCAACAUCUGGCAUCACGAGCUACAACAGCAACCAGUUAGGAUCAGGAGAAAGAGGGCAAACACAAGCCUAACAAUGAGUUAUAUCCGGUUUAAACAAGGAUAAAAAUGAGUGUAUUUUACACUCAUCAUGUUGUCUUUUCGCAGCUGUACCGCCUUUAGCGUGUUGUAUUGUUCCUAACACCAAGUCUCCGAGGCCCGAAAAAAUAAGGAAAGUGGUAGCAGCUCAGAAAUCGACUAAGUUUCUUUCCCCCUUUGGCUUUCCUACUAGGAUUCGGAAUCCUCUUUCGUAUGACAAUCUUAAUGAUCUCCCAUAGUCCAAAACUCACAAAAACAUCAAAAAUCCACCGAGAAUAAAUUAAGUAAAAAAACAUGCACACACAGAUAAUAAUAGUAAUCAUGUUUCAUUAUGAUUGCUAAGGUCAGACACAAUACAUAAACAUAUUAGACUGAGUGACCCACCUCACCUCAGAGUAUGCACCAUGUCUGAGUGACCCACCUCACCUUGCCAGGACACUGGUCCUGCCCUCGUGGUUCACGCGCCCUCGUGGUUCAGCAGUGGUCAGUACACAAAUCUAGCUGCCAGUCGGAUCCAAGGGCAGGCAUUUGCAUUGUGGUUGUGUUUGAACAUGGAGAUGUCAUUAUUAUUGUCAGGCACCAUACAUCCUCUCUCAGUUUCACUCCGCCUCACACACGGAUAGCACACCAGGGACCCGACACCAUGCAUGCCGAUUUCAUAUUAUUAAUAUUUAAUUUUUUUAAUGGUUGUUGAAACUAUAUUGUUGAUAUUUUUAUACAUAAUUUACGACCUAAUUUGGAUAUAUUUUUGAAAUAUUCCGAAAUCUUAAAUUCACACGUCUAGAGAUACAGUUAGUCCAAUCUGAUGUUUCCGAUUAUAAAAAUGAACAUAAAGAGAUAGGAAGCGAGAGACGUGAGGGGGAAAGUUAAAUUAGGGCCUAAGGGGUGAAGUUAGGGUUCCAGGUGAGCUGUCAUCACUACGUGUUUUUAAUCGAAAUUGGAAUGUCAGCAAUCGUCAGAUCUUGAGCCAACAGUUGAGACUGCCUCGGAAUGGUAAUUAGGUCUGCGCGAGCUUGCAUUGUGGCCUUCCUUGAAACCUUGGACAUAGGUGUUAUAUUAUUAUGUUCUUGCCAGCACACAGCAGUGAAGGACGACACAGUUGAGAUGUGCAUCACAUUUUCUAUAUGAAGGAUAUGUUUAGCAAACCUAAGAUUUUAGAAUAAAAAGAAAAAUCAUGGGAGCCAAAGCGCCACAUAGUUCUUCCAGGUAAAAAAAAAUCAUCCACUGGACCAGCACAUAGUAACGAUCCAAAAAGUCCAUAUUAAGAUUUUUUGAUAGCAGAAAAAACAUAAAAUGUCUAAUAUUUGUAGUAUUAAAAGGAAAAAUAAUAUAUUCACGUGACCUUUUUCCCGUAGCAAGGCACCGGUACGUGGUCAGACUUAAUGCACGAUGCCUAAGCAUCCAUUGGGCCUACCCUCGUGUGGAUCACGCGCAACAGGACACGGCUCACAAGCUAUGAUGUGCAGCAGUCGCUCAGAUGGCUGAAAGGUACCCUUAAUUUGAAUGGUACCAUAUAUAUAUAUAUAUAUAUAUAUAUAGUAAACAAGACAAACCACCGUUGAUACUACUUUGCACUACUUGAUACAUAUAUCUCCACCAAAAGCGAGGCACGUGGGGAGGAGAGAUAUGUGGUUGAUGGUGCGGGCACGUGGCGAGUGCACCGUACGAAAAUUUUGCUCGUGUCGGACGACUGAUGUGAAGCAUUACCCAAUCUUAAUUAUCUCCCAUAAUCCAAAACUCACAAAAACAUCAAAAAUCCGCCGAGAAUAAAUUAAGUAAACCAUGCACACACAGAUAAUAAAAUUGCUAAUAAGGCCAGAGACAAUACAUAAACAUAUUAGACUGUUCAUGACACAUAUCACGGUGGAUAGUGUCUGUGUCCUUAUUACAAGCAAUGAGAGAUGCUUGUCACCACACACACGCGCACAGAUGCACAACAUACAUAUAGUUGAGACCAACAGAUGGAUCAACUAGAGGUCACCCCAUAUGGUGAACAAUUUAUUGGAGAUAAACAUUAACAUAACUUGGCCAUAGCUUGAAGCAUAGCAACAUAUGCCUAUGAACGGCGUUCAUGCUAUCAUUUUAGGCUUGUCCGCUUCUUCCAUCUUAGCAAGCACUUCCAUUUCUACCAUCUUAGAAGCAACUGUCAAAUUGAGAUAUGGAAAUCCCAUUAGCGCAUGAGUUAAUUUUGCAGUGAAAAUAGAGUACAAGAUAUCUUCAUGAUGUAAGUAACAUGCCUGAAGUUGUGAGAUGGGAAGUGAAGUCAACAAAUUACAUUAACGGAAAUGCAUGGAAGGCCACACAUACGUAUUAGUCCAUGAUAUGCUACAAAGCUUGUAUGUACAUAUAGCAAAUUAAAUGCAUUAAUUGAAUAGAGUGAGUUUAGUGAAUUUACCAGAAUCGUCCAGAAAACAUGGGAAACAGCAAGUGUUCUUGCAGACUGCGUCGGUGCCACCCACAGCAAUACAACCAAAACAACAUGCUUUUGCCCGAGCGGCUGCGCAGCAGCCGCACUCUGCCGCGGUGGCCGAGUUAGCAUUGAGGCUCAAGAUGACCAGGCACAUGAUCACCAUCAAAGCGGUGGUAGUCCUCUUUCCCUCCAUUGCCUCCUCUUGCUGCUACCUUCCUUGGUUACCUAGCUAAGUUUAUUGGUUUUGUGUUGAGAGGUGAUUCUUGCAUUGAAUGGACGUUGCCGCGGCUGCAAUUUAUAGGCAGCUGCGCUAUGUGAUGAUAUGGACAAGGUGCAAAUGGGUGGUCCUGAUAUGGAUAAGGUGCAUGCGAAUGGCUGUCUACUUGUAUAGUGGCGCUCCAAUGUACAUACGUAUGUAUCUUAUGCAUGUAUACAGUUGAUGGAUGUACAUGUUUGUUGCACAAAUUAUUCUGAACCAACUCUUCAUAACAGGUCUUUGUUACCAAGUAAUUUUACUUUUGCACGUUUCAGCCGAGAGGCAGAAGAGAAUAUUUUACAGAGAGGGCAGAGAAGGAGGUUGGCGGAGGCGCCGUGGUAGGGUUCCCCGUGUCGCCAAGAUUUUUGCAUUUUAGAUGUGUGUAUUGAUCACUUCGUCGUGCUCGCGGGGCCCAACUCCAGGUUGUACCCCAGCAGACCACGUUCUGUUUCUCUGCCUCCAAUGAGCAUGCAUGCCUCCACAAGGACCACAAGACUUAGUAAAAAAGCUAAACUUUGCAACACGAUGUAUACAGAACGUUUUGAAAUGUACUCUCGUUAGGCAUUCACCUCCUUAACAAUCACUGCGACUGUAAAAGAGGUACAUCGACGCUAGCUAAAUAAACCACUAUAAGAUUUAGCAAGAGAUCAUUUUAUACAAUCCUGUAACGAAACAAUUUGACAAUUAUAGUGUCCAUAUAUUUUGACAAAAAAACGUUUAAAUUAUAUAAGGAGGUGGGCCCGAAAACGGUUGGAUUACAUCGAGAACGUUUUGAAACAGUUGGCGGAGCAGGAUUCUGGCGUGGAGCAUCUACAUUGUCGCGCGCGCGGACUGCCGGAGUAGGCACGCUCGACUUGUCCCAUCGCCAGCUAAAUGAUUUAGUACCGGAUGGUCUCUAGUACCGGUUGGAGCUACCGUCCACCAGGAGCUUUUCUAGUUUGGAACUGGUACUAAUGCUAAUAUUAGUAUCAGGUCAAAAACAAUCGGUACUAAGGCUAGGGAUGACACGUCAUUUUUCUAGUAGUGUGUGCAAUUGGUUUUGUAAUUAGUCUAUAUUUAAUACUUCUAAUUAGUAUCUACACAUUUUAUGUGACAGGGACUGAACUUUAGUCCGUGGAACCAAACACCCCAUAAGUAUGUUUGGUGCUGUAAGGAUUUCGGUUUUAUUUAAUUUCCUAGGCAUUUAAAUUUCUUUCUAAAAUAAGUUAAUGAAUCAUAGGAUCUCAUUGUUGUAUUCAAGCUGGUGCAUUGAUUUUGCCUAUAAAACCCGCCGCGGUCUUCGCAGCCCCCAUCAAACCCUAGCGCCCUUGCCACAAGCUCAGCACCGCUGCCGCCCGAGCUCGAGCACUAGCACCCACCCAUCGCCGUUGCCUUCCCGUCGAUGGGAUCACCGCCCGGAGCUUCGCAUCGUGGUAAGGAAGCCGCCCGUGAAGAUCCCAUGUGCUCCUAUGCCCUCUACCGCGUCCCCGAGUUCCCGGAGUUGCUAGUCUCCCACCGAGCCGACUCUCCGAGCUUCACGUCACUGGUGCCGCUCCGAAGACCUAGUUCGGUUCGCCAUGCACCUCGCUUCAUCCUGAGCUAAACCCCAUAAUGAAUGGUGGUCGGAUGCUCGCCGCCACGGCGCGUCGUCUUUUCUGUCGCCCGUGCAUUGCCUAUCCCCUUCCAGCCGAUUGCAGCUGUCCGAUCGCAAACCGGUGGCCCUGAUCGGAUACCAAGGUCAAUACCGGUCGAACCGAGCCGUGCGCUGCUUUUGCAAGAAGGCCCCUGUUUUUCUCUCUUUUUGCACCUGAGGUCCUACGCAGUUCAAAAGUAAUAAGAUCUAGGUCCUUUUUCUUUUGUUUUAGCCCGUGUUCUUUUAUAAAAUCCCGCCCACUAUUCUGUUUGGUCUUUUGACGCGUUAGACCUUCUUUUUAUAUGUUUAAUUAGGUUUUAGGUCUCGAUUUCUUUAAGUUUAGCCCUUGAAAGUUUAGUUCUCUCGCAGUUAAGCCCCUGAACCUUGUUUAGCUCAUAUCUUAAGCGUUUUAAAUCCGUUUUAACAGAUUCUUGCGCCUAUAAGUUCAUGUUGACGCAUAGAUUAGUUGACUUAUACGAACCUUGCUGAUUCAGCUCCUUGAUUGUGCUUCAGAUCUCGCUAGGGAAGAAUAAUGGAUGGGCUUUGGUUGAGCUUGUAGAUCGACUUGCAGUUGCAGUGAAUGAGCAGAGGAUUGGCAGUGAAUAAGAUCAGGCCGCUGCCCUGCUUGGUAGGGAAAAUAUCUGCUUGCUACCAAGGCCUGUGACGCAUGGACCCCAUUGAGAGUGCAUUAUUGACAAGGACUUAAAGCCAAGGGCUCCACACCUGUCAUUGAUCAGCUGUCUGCUGGGCGCUGCAAGGAGGUAGUGCAUGUUUGACAUAAAGAAGCAGGUGGCCCAGGAUUUACGAAAAAUAAGGAUCUAUUUGAUACCCUUGCUUAUAUUUAGGGGCUAAAAGUUGCUUAUUUGAAGUUGCUUAUUUUUAAUCCUAGCUGUUUGAUUGCAUGGGCUAAAGAGCAUUGAAUGAGGUGGAUAUUGUCAUGUUUGCCUCUAAUGAUUGCUUCCCAUCACAUUUCUCCCCCCUCAUUCAACGAGGGAAGGAGGUGUAAAGUGCACCUUUUAGCCCCGAUAAGUAACCCUUGUGUUGUUUACGGGCUGAACAUAAGUAGCUAAAGUUUAGCUCCAAUAAACAAGAGUGUUUGGUAUUUUUGGGGUUAAAAGGGGCUAAACUUUAGCUGCUUAUGCAUAAGCAAGGCCAUCCAAAUAGGCCCUAAGUAUGUUUGGCGUUGUAAGUAGGUUUUAUUUAAUUUCCUAGGCAUUUAAAUUUCUUUCUAAAAUAAGUUAAUGAAUCAUAGGAGUUCAUUGUUGCAUUCACGCUGGUGCAUUGAUUUUGCCUACAAAACCUGCUGCCGUUUCCGCAGCUCCCAUCAAACCCUAGCACCCCCGCCACGAGCUCCAGCGCCGCUGCCGCCCGAGCUUGAGCACUAGCGCACACCCAUCGCCGUCGCCUUCCUAUCAAUGGGAUCACCGCCCGGAGCCCGUGUCAUGGUAAAGAAGCCGCCCGUGAAGAUCCCGUCCACUCUCGUGCCCUCUACCGCGUCCUCGAGUUCACCGGAGUUGCCAGUCUGCCACCCAGCCGCCUCUCCGAGCUUCAUGUUGUCGUUGCCACUCUAGCUGCCUCUCUGAAGACCUAGAUCGGUUUGCCGUGCACCCCGCUUCAUCCUGAGUUAAACCCCAUCAUGCCACGUCAUAGUAAGGAAGCUGCUCAUGAAGAUCCCGUGCGCUCCCGUGCCCUCUACCGCGUCCCCAAGUUCACUGGAGUUGCUAGUCCACCACCGAGCCGCCUCUCCGAGCUUCACUUCACAGUCGCUGCUCCAGCCACCACUCUGAAGACCUAGAUCAGUUCGCUGUGCACCCCACCUCAUCCUGAGCUAAACCCCAUGACGAACUGUGGUCGGAUGCUCAUUUUCGAGUGAAUUCCGGCGAGAUGGUCGCCCGCCGCCGCCAUCUCCAUCGCCCAUGCACCGCCUGUCCCCUUCCAGCCGAUGUCCGAUUGCAAACCGAUAGCCGAAAUCGGAUGUGGUCACCAGGAUUAAUACCAGUCAAACUAAGCCACGCGUGCCGCUUUUGCAAGAAGGCCCCUAUUUUUCCCUCUUUUUGCACUUGAGGUCCUAUGCAGUUCAAAAGUAAUUAGAUCAAGGUCCUUUUUCUUAUGUUUUAGCCCUAUUCUUUCAUAAAAUCCCGGCUGCCAUCCUGUUUGAAAUAGAUACGGUUAUAGAUAUGCAAACAUCUGCAUAUUUCCAACCGUAUCUCUUUCGAACGGGAGACGCCUAACUAGGUUACGUGACAUACGAACAUCAUACGGAUAGAGAGGGGUAGGAUGUCUCACCUUGCUAUCCUACAAAGUGACGACUCGAGGACAGUAAUGUAGCCUCUCCUUCAAAAAAAGAACAUACUACUAUCAAGUUAAAUUUUUGACAGCACCUCCCCUGCACGUGGAGGUUUCCAUAACCUGCAUCAAAUAAAACGGCACGAUGGCUGACAACCACAUCUACAGCACCAGAAUGGCACGAUGGCCGACUUCCACAUAAAGUUCUUAUACCUUAGAUUGCCAAGUCAAACAUCCUUUUCUAAUUUCUAAAACAAAAGCCCUCCCACCUCUCUAUCUUAUACUUUCCUAUUUACUAAUUGCUUUUGUAAUUUCUAAUUUCUAUUUCAUCCUACCACCUCUGUACCCUUUUCUCAUUUCUAAUUCCAAUUUUCUAACUUGAAGAGCAAAGAUUGAUUACUAGGAGGGGUGAGGGACGCCGGCCUAGAGAGGCGAGGGGACGUCCGGCGGCGGCGGGUGCGUCGGGGGUAGGAUGCCAGGGGCGGCUGCAGGGGCGCCGGGUUGGGGGCGGCCGGGAUCGAGGGCACCAGUAGCGGGGGCACCGGGCCGGGGGCGGCCGGCGGGGCGGGACGCCAGGGCCGGGGCGACGGGCGCCGGUGGCGAGGCCGCCCGGCCGGUGGUGGCCGGCGUGGCGCCUGGGCCGGGGGGGGGGGGCGGGCGGGGUGCGGCGCGGCGCGCCGGGGCAGGGCGCCGAGGCUGGGUGGUGGGGUACGGGGCGGCGGGCGGGGGGUGGGGGGAGGGUCGGCGGCGGGGCGCGGGGGCGGCCAGCGGCGACGGCGGAGGGCGUCGGUGGUGUUUCGGAAGUGAUACGGAGGGGGUAGAGAGAUUCGUUUUCGCGGCUGAGUGUUCGAGUCAGAAGGCCGUGCGGCUUAAGUCAGGUGGUUUGCCGAGUGCGCGCGAUCUGGCACUCGGCAAAGUCAGAAGUUUUGCCGAGUGUCAGAUCGCGGGCACUCGGCAACUGCAGCUUUUGUCGAGUGCCCUGGAUUCGGCACUCGGCAAAGUGAAGUUUUAAUUUUUUUUAAAAAAAUUUAAUCGGAACACGGGCGUGCCAGCGGGCCCGUGACAUACUUUGCCGAGUGUGUAGCAAAAACACUCGGCAAAAUAUUAUCUUUACCGAGUGUUUUCGCUAGGCACUCGGCAAAGUACACUUAUAUUUCAUGUACACUUUUUCAAUAACGUGUUUUACUAACCUUUUUCUGAUAUACUUGGGAAAAACCUUAUCAAAUUCACUCAACAAUGGAUAUAUGGUUUUUCUACUGACAUUAUUCCAUUAUUUCAUUCAGUUAUAGCUCAAAUUGAAUUUAUAUCUAUUAAAAAUCAAUAAUUGCAUUUAAUAAAUAAAAAAUACCAAACGGAUCUGAAAAAUUUCCAAAAUUUGACAUGAACCAAUCUAUGUUGUAUGUUGCCUGUACAAAAAGCUUUGAAGUCAAACCCCAAUUCAAGUGUCACUUGGACUCCAAAUCUUAUCGGAUCCUUUCUAACUUCUAUGAAUCCUUUCGGGAGAUGAGUCGGUUUGUAAGCAUCAUAUGUCAUAAAUUGGGCGAAACCUUCUCAAUUUUUUACCACAGCCUCCACAUAUAAUAUCAUGACACCUUGACAAAUCUUGUGAUUUUCAGACUUCGUUUGCUUUUUUUAGAAUUUAACAACCAUUCAACCACAUGUUCGUGAUCGUGUUUUCUAAAAAAAUGUUCAAAAUUUCUUUUCAUUUCCUGGUUGAGACCUCAAUCCGGAUUGAAUAAUAUGAAUAUGAUUUUUUCACUGAUUUUAAUCCAUUAUUUAAAUCACUUGCAGUUAAAUUUGACUUAAAUAAACAAAUUCCUAUUAAUGCUAUCAAUUCAUUAAAAAUAGCAAACAGAGAAAAAAUAGACCAACUUUUAAGAUGGAUUACCAAAUGUCAUAUGUGGGGAGUAGAAAAAGUGUGGAGAGCAGAGGUGGAAAAAAAAGUUUUGCCUUUGCCAAGUGCCUACACAAACACUCAACAAACUUUGCGGAGUGCCUAUUGAAAACACUCAGCGAACUUCUGAGUUUGCCGAGUGUCUGGAGGGAGCACUCGGCAACCUACUUAUUUGCCGAGUGUCCGCGUCGGACACUCAGCAAAGUACUAACGGCUGGCACACUCCCCUAACGGACGGCGCACGUGCAAGCCAUGUGCUGGAGAUUUAUCGAGUGUCAAAUCGUUGCCGAGUGUCGUGUGGAUGUUUGCCGAGUGUCUUAUUUGUGACACUCGGCAAAGCUAUUGUUUGCCGAGUGUAUUAUUUAUGCCGAGUGUCUUCCAGUAUACACUCGGCAAAUGAUGUCUUUGCCGAGUGCUCGACAUAAAGCACUCGGCAAAAAUUUUACACUCGGCAACAUUCCUGUUUCCGGUAGUGAGUGACCCGGGACUAAAGACCCCCGUUGUCUCUGAUUGCUUUAUUCCGGAUGGAUUUUCAGGAGAUUUGCUCCCUACCAAUAGGGACUAAAGGCAAGUUUUCCACUUAUAGCAAACCAGUUAGCCCAUUGUUGAUGGAACGCAUCACUAGAAACAGCUCGGGAUCCACUUGUCCAAUAAUCGAGAGGGCCUAUAUAUGGACCACGUGUGCGGAUCCCUAAUUAGGAAAAAAGAAUAAUGGAGUAGGACAUCUCCAUGCUCACCUAGUAGCCGCUGCUAGCUUGUGCGUGUGGAACACGAGUGCCGGCCCAGUUGGCGCUAAGACAUCGUACGUGCAUUAAGGCUACGAUCUCUUUCUUCUAACUCAUGCUUGUGCUAUUAUACAUUAUUGCAUGAUCAUCAAGAUAAGAUCGUAUAGUGACUGAGUGAGACAUGUAUGUACUAACAUGCAUUUAAGCCUCGAACUGUGUGUUGUUACGUGAGCUGCCUCCUCACCUCGCCUCUGAAUUAUUGAACCGUUUCCAACAGUGUUGGUCUCAAAUAAAUUUGACACCAAACAGAUUUAUGAAGAAGAGAGAAUAAUACUUGGAAUUGGAAAAAGUUUAUCUCUCUUUACAAUGGAGUAGGGCUCCCUUUUAUAGUGACCCAUAAGCCACUUUACAUUUGGAAAAUGUCCUUCCUCAACCACUACAUUAAUUCCUAGGAUAUGCUGUACAUAAAGGUCAUUUGAGGUAACGUGUACAAAUGAACUCUUCCACAUGGUCACGUUUCUCAUGCCUCCUGUUUUCCAACCUCGAGACAUCAUCUUCACGCCAAGUUGAUCAUCUAGCCUCGAGGCUCCAUCCACGAUCCAGAAUGAACGUCCAGGCUUGAGGCUCCUUCUUCGUUAAGCUUUGUUGAGAACUCAUAACCUCACAUAGUUCUCCUCCGAGUAUUGUUCCCGACUCAGAACACUCGAGGUUUAGCUCAGUUGGAGUUUAGCUAUUACUGUUGCUAGUCACCAGCCUCGAGCCCCUCCAGAAGCAAGGUGAUGCGAGGGUACGAGUUUUACUAUUAAAGGUGUUUCCAUAGAAUGUGCGAGGUUAAAGCACUUGCAGCAAAAGCGUGGAGCUGCUUUCAACCAGAGUGCAAUAAUGCAGCCGUGCCCAUCUUGGUCUUGGUCUCCGCCUGAACUAUAGCAGAUGCUGGCAGCGGUAGCAGGGUGGUCCAUUAUAUCUAUGGAUGGCAAUGGUCGGAUUCGGAUGGAAUCGAAUUCGAAUAGCACUUUUUACCACAUACUAAUUCAAAUCCGAAUUCGGAUUCGGAUGUUCUCGAAUGCGAAUGCAAAAUGGAUGGUUCGAAUUCGAAUACUUAGCGGAUUUUUGCAUAAUAUUAAUCGAAUAGAAUUCAUUAAAUUUAGCCAAGAAAUUAAAUUUUCUGAAAUUAAAUACUUUCCCUUCGCCCCAGCGGCGGCCUAACUCCCAGGACGGUGGCGUGCGGGGCCCGAGCAUCCCUGGCCUCUAGUGGCGUGGCGGGGCGGCAUCCAGCAGCAGCGGCGGGGCUCGGCCUCCGGUGGCGCGCGGCCAGCCCGACCUACCCGGUCAGAGGUGGCGCAGCGGUGCGCGGGCCUCCCCGACCAGAGCCGGUGGGGAGCGGUGCGCGGGGAGGACCUCCCCAGCCGGAGGUAGCAGGGCGCGACCUCCCCGGCCGGAGGUGGCUCCCUGUGGGGGCGCGGCCGUGACAGCUAGCGAGGCAAUAAUUGCUUCCGUACGCAGCAAUAAUUGCUUGUGCGACACCGUGUUAUUACUCUGGUACAGUACUCCCUCCGUUGCAGUACACUGGUCCAGGCGUCAGGACACUGCUCCUGCCCUCGUGGUUCACGUGCAUCAGGCCAGCAGACAAGCUAUGAUGUUGCCAACAGUGUUUGUUUGAACAUGGAGAUGUCAUUGUGAUUGUCAGGGACCCGACACCAUGCAUGCCGAUUUCAUAUUCUUAAUAUUUAUUUUUUUAAUGGUUGUUGAAACUAUAUAGUUACUCCAAUAUCACGUUUCCGAUUAUAAAAAUUAACAUAAAGAGAUCGGAAGGGAGAGCCCGCAUAAUGAAGCCGACGCGUAUAAUAAGCACUAGAGCCGGCAUUUAUACAAACGGGUACGCAUAGUAAAAACUAGAAUUUAUAAAUAAAUGAAGAUAUUCAAAUAUCUGGCUUACUUUUUUCAUUAAUUUUGCAUGAAUAAGGGAUGAUUCAUUAAUCAUUAUUGAACAAAUUGGCACACAUGCUUCGUGCCCGCGUUGUGAGCAUUAUGCGAUGCCACUGAGCUGCACCACCACGGUAGAGGGCCUGUUUGCGAUGCCACCGAGCUGCACCACCACGGCAGAGGGUCUGUUUGGGAAGGGGAAGUUAAAGUUUAACACCCCCCAUUUAACACCUUUUUAACAAAAUGGCUGCUAAACACUUGUGUUAAAAGAGUAGUGUUAAAAUUUAACACCUCUCUUUUCAUAAACACAUGGAGGGGGUGUUAAAAUUUGCUAAAUGUGUUAAAAGUGGUCCCCUCCCCACUUAUUCCUUGGUUGCCCCCCUCUCUCUCCUCCUCUCUCUCCUACCCGCCGCAUUUAAGAGCAUUAUUGAGGGGUAAUGCAGUCCUUUUCCAACAAAAGUGUUAAACUUUAACAACCCUUCCCAAACAUGCCACAAGCAACACCACCGGCUGACUGUGCUAGCGGGGAGCACCCUCACCGCCUGCCCGUGGGGACUUCUUCUGCCGGCCAUCGUGUCUUUGUAGGACCGCCGCGUGAGCCUAUGAGCCACCGGUGGCCGUGCGCCCAAGGGCCAUCACCAUGCCACCUGAGGAUGCUGUCUACCCGGUGCCGCGUGCCUCUGCUAGCUGCUUGCACCUGGGCCGCCGCUGGUCGCCUGCACAGCCACGCGUUACAGCCGCCCCCCUGCGCUGGGCCACCCCAUUUCGUGUUGGAAGAACUGCCACAGUCUCGCGCACUGGGGUUUUGCUAGUGACGACCAUAGCCUCCAAGAUCAAAUGAAAAAGUUGGUACUCAAAACAUACAUCCAUUAAUCUAGUCGUGCUAAUCCUUACCACCAAAUAAAAACUAGCAUGUGUUGUGUUUUUGUGACCCUAAACGAUCACAAAUGAAUAACUUAUGGGCGUUGCUAGCCUAUAAGUUAUGGGCGUUUGUGACCCUAGUCGCGCCGGGGUCUUGCUGGUGACAACCAUGGUCUUCGCGAUAAAGUAUUAAGUCUCAUCGAGUUCUACAAUUUUGAUAUAAAAUUUCUAUUCAUCCGAGAUCAAAUGAAAAACAAAUGAAAAAAUCCGAAGUAUUAGGCUUCAUCGAGCUCUACAAUUUUGAUAUAAAAUUUCUAUUCAUCCGAGAUCAAAUGAAAAAAUCCGAGAUCAAAUGAAAAGUUGGAACUCAAAACAUACAUCCAUUAAUCUUGAUAUAAAAUUUCUAUUCAUCCGACAUCAAAUGAAAAAGUUGGUACUCAAAAUAUACAUCCUUUAAUCUAGUCGUGCUAAUCCUUACCACCAAAUAAAAAAACUAGCAUGUGUUGUGUGUUUCUGACCGUAAACGAUCACAAAUGAAUAACUUAUGGGUGUUGCUAGCGUCCCGGACGCUAGCAUCGGACGCAUGAGCAGCCGUCCGAUCGGGUCCGACACCACUUCACGAUCUGUCUUAAAAAAAAGUCCCACCGAAACAUUGUUCCAUGUUGCAUGAAAUACCCCACUAUCCAUCGCCAGGUCUACAGCAAGCACCACCUUCCAAUCUGCUGCUCACCCAAGCUAAAUAGGGGCAUUAAAAUUGCAGAAAUAUGUCACAUAUCCUUGUCAAAUUAAACUAAAUCGCAACAUCCGAAAAUUUCUUACACAAAACCAUGAAACAUAUCGAUUAGAUAGGUGUAACAAGAUGGAAUAUGGUAUCCAACAUAUAGAUUCCGAAAAACAGAUGAAACAUUAUGUAACGAUUGUUGAAACAGUCGAGAAAUAUAGAUGUAACGAUUAAAAUUUAGAAAAGAAGCUUUAUGCAAAUUGCAAAAAGCUGAAAUAAGUGGUUGAAACAUUUCGAAUCACCAAAUGCCACAUUUGAAAUGGCUACAUGAAACAUCACGAAAUCAAUUGCAACAGUUGAAGAUGAAAACAUUCAAAUGCCUUGCCUUUCUCCAGAUUUGACCCUCCAAGCAUGAGUCCAGCCAUUUGCACAUUAGACCCUUGGGAGGAGCUCACCGGAGAACAACAAGACCGUGUUCUCCAACAAUUUUCUGAUCAAAUUGCAACAGACAAAACAAAGCAUUGCAACAUCUGGCAUCACGAGCUACAACAUCAACAAGUUAGGAUCAGGAGAAAGAGGGAAAACACAAGCCUAACAACCCCAAGACAAAACUGAUGUACUCAUCAUACAUCACGGCUUGCCGUGCACAGAGAUGAAGGCCGCCAAGCUCAAUCGAGACAGAGACGACGUGAUAGUGCUCCAGAUCGACGGUCCCCAUCAAUUGUUGCGUACACUGCCAAAAGCAAUGGAAGAAGAAGGGUCGUCCCUGCUCGACCUCCGUAGAUGAGCGCAGAUUGGGGGAAACCGUAUAGAGUGCCGCUGACAGCACAGGCGAGGGGGCUCAGGCUUGAUUCAGGGUGAGGGUAGCGGGUAGCAUGAGGAGACAGUCAGGUUUCAUAGGAGAGAGGCGGAGUAGAGAGCUCUGGUGACUCGGUGAGGAGGGUGCGGCACGGAGAAAGGUGUGUAGCUGAAGGAGCUACAUGGUUGGGGCGAGGCGAGCGUAGAGACUAGAGAGGGAAAAAAAGCAUGGGGAGGAGACGAUAUGUGGUUGAUGGUGCGGGCACGUGGUGAGCGCACCGUAUGAAAAUUUUGCUCGCGUCGGAUGACUGAUGUGAAGCAUUACCCAAUCUUAAUUAUCUCCCAUAAUCCAAAACUCACAAAAACAUCAAAAAUCCGCCGAGAAUAAAUUAAGUAAACCAUGCACACACAGAUAAUAAAAUUGCUAAUAAGGCCAGAGAUAAUACAUGAACAUAUUAGACUGUUCAUGACACAUAUCACGGUGGAUAGUGUCUGUGUCCUUAUUACAAGCAAUGAGAGAUGCUUGUCACCACACACACGCGCACAGAUGCAUGACAUACAUAUAGUUGAGACCAACAGAUGGAUCAACUAGAGGUCACCCCAUAUGGUGAACAAUUUAUUGGAGAUAAACAUUAACAUAACUUGGCCAUAGCUUGAAGCAUAGCAACAUAUGCCUAUGAAUGGCGUUCAUGCUAUCGUUUUAGGCUUGUCCAGCUUCUUUCAUCUUAGCAAGCACUUCCAUUUCUACCAUCUUAGCAGCAACUGUCAAAUUGAGAUAUGGAAAUCCCAUUAGCGCAUGAUUAAUUUUGCAGUGGAAAUAGAGUGCAAGAUAUCUUCAUGAUGUAAAUAACAUGCCUGAAGUUGUGAGAUGGGAAGUGAAGUCAACAAAUUACAUUAACGGAAAUGCAUGGAAGGCCACACAUACGUAUUAGUCCAUAAUACGCUACAAAGCUUGUAUGUACAUAUAGCAAAUUAAAUGCAUUAAUUGAAUAGAGUGAGUUUAGUGAAUUUACCAGAAUCGUCCAGAAAACAUGGGAAACAGCAAGUGUGCUUGCAGACUGUGUCGGAGCCACCCACACGAAUACAAAGCUGACAACAUGCUUGUGCCUCGUGGGAUACGCAGCAGCCGCACUGUGCCGCGGUGGCCGAGUUAACAUUGAGGCUCAAGAUGAACAGGCACAUGAUCACCAUCAAAGUGGUAGUCCUCUUUCCCUCCAUUGCCUCCUGUCGCUGCUACCUUCCUUGGUUACUAGUAAGUUUAUUGGUUUUGUGUUGAGAGGUGAUUCUUGCAUUGAAUGGACGUUGCCGCGGCUGCAAUUUAUAGGCAGCUGCGCUAUGUGAUGAUAUGGACAAGGUGCAAAUGGGUGGUCCUGAUAU